CGAACCACAGUUUAAAAUUCAAAGAUCUUGGCGGUGUCUUAUAAAACCAGGGGAACCUGUCUCAUAACUCGAUAAUCCACGUAUACCCAACCUCUUUUUGAAAUCCAGCUUGUGUACUGCCGUUGUAAGCAUACCUUUAAAAGAAAAGUGUGCCACUAUGAUUAAUCAUACUUAAUUCACAUACAUCAGGUCAAAGUGCAGUUUAUAUAGAGGAGAUGAUGGGUUACAACCUAAAAAAAGAUAUAGAGUAAAAAAUAAAAAAUUUUAUGAAAGUGGACUUGGCUGUAAUCAACAAACAUAGUAAGUAAAUGAACACCUAUCUAAGACAUGUACACAUCGCCCG
rnacentral:rRNA from 1 species